rnacentral:rRNA from 1 species
GAUGAACGCUGGCGGCGUGCCUAAUACAUGCAAGUCGAGCGAACGGACGAGAAGCUUGCUUCUCUUAUGUUUGCGGCGGACGUGUGUUUAACACGUGGAUAACUUACCUAUAUGACUGGGAUAACUUCGGGAAUCCUUAUCUUAUACCGGAUAAUAUUUUGUACCGCUUGGUUCAUAAGUGAAAUACGGUCUUGCUGUCACUUAUAGUUUUAUCCGCGCUGCAUUAGCUAGUUGUUACGGUAACGGCUUACCAAGGCAACGAUGCAUAGCCGACCUGAGAGGGUGAUCGGCAAAACUGGAAGUGAGAAACGGAACAGAGACCUACGGGAGGAAGCAGAAGGGAAGAGUACGGAAAGGGCGAAAGGAUGACGGAGCAAAGCGGCGUGAGAGAUGAAGGAAUAGGGAUCGUAAAACUAUGUUAUUAGGGAAGAAAAAAAGUGUAAGAAAAAGUGAACAGAAUGACGGUAACAAAAAAGAAAGCAACGGCUAACUACGUG